rnacentral:tmRNA from 1 species
GGGGCCGACUGGUUUUGACAGCGAGACCAAUGGCAUUGUAAGCAUGUCGAGCUAUGGGAAUGAUGCUCGUUAAUUCAAUAUCCCACACUUUUAAAUGGCGAGUCUAACUACGCUUUAGCUGCUUAAUCGACUGAAUUAUAGUAAGUCUUAGCCUAGUCGCGCGAGGCGCGAAAGCUGAAUGUUCCUGAAUAGCCCUUGUUGACGGCGAUUCAUUUAGGAGCACCAUAAAAGUCAACACCGGAUUGUUUGUGCUUCGGUAACAGUCCUAAACUAAAGAAGCUAAGCGUACGAUUGGCAGUCUUAGGUCGGUCGUACGUCGACAACCAAACUAAGACUAAGCAUGUAGAAAGCUCUGUUAUUGCUUGUUUGGACGAGGGUUCGAAUCCCUCCGGCUCCACUU